UACGGAGGGGGCAAGCGUUGUUCGGAAUUACUGGGCGUAAAGCGCACGUAGGUGGCGACGUAAGUCGGGUGUGAAAGCCCCGGGCUCAACCUGGGAAUUGCAUUCGAGACUGCAUUGCUGGAGUACGGAAGAGGAGGGCGGAAUUCCCGGUGUAGCGGUGAAAUGCGUAGAUAUCGGGAGGAACAUCAGUGGCGAAGGCGGCCCUCUGGUCCAGUACUGACACUCAAGUGCGAAAGCGUGGGGAGCAAACAGG
rnacentral:rRNA from 1 species